ensembl:lncRNA
GAUUUGCAAACCAAGCGAUUCUUUUAAGCAUCAGUCUUAAACUGUGUGAUACACAGAUUAAUCAUAUAACUAAGAUUCUGGAUUCCACAUAUUCCAGGAUUAUGGUUACCCCCAAACUAAUAUCAAAUUUCUUUUAAAUAUAUGCUAUCAUUGUUAGUGAUUCCUAUGUAGUCUCUAACAUCUCUUUUAUUCCUCUUAGUUGAAAACUUGGUAAAAUAUACACCAUUAAUUGAAACCCCUGUGGUGAACAGCUGGUUAGUUCAUUAAUCAGUUAAAUUUAUGGUACAGUAUGAUAGAAAUACAAAUCUUUCUAAGUAGAAUAUUAAAUCUAUUCUGUUCUUCAUCUCAAUACCCAGACAUAUUAGUGCAGAAGAUAAUUAUUAUAGAAGGCAUAGCAGUGCAUAAAAGAAACUGUGAUUUGAAAUAAAAACUACAAAUAUAAACUUCCUGGGACAAGUUCAGAAAAAGAAAGACACUCAUGAUAUGGAUUGAAGAUAAAGAAUGCGAAAAAGGAAGACCAGACAUCACACACUGAUUUGGGGGAAAUUGGAGGUCCAGAGGCUGGUGGCAUGCGGUGGUUCUAUUCAGGGAUCAAUAGGCAAUGCCGGGCGGACGCUUUCCCACAUUGCGGGCCUUUGCAUGCUGAAAGGGGGAGGAGAGCUCGGUGCUGGCCAUCUGCUCCUUGUCUUUCUGUGUGAGACCUUGAUGCGGUGCAGCGCAGCUCUGAUCUGACUCCAGUCCGGUUGGAAUGUGGCUGAUCUGAGAGCCUCUCAAAGCUGUGAAAUUUUUCUCCAGGAGAAUUCAAAGAUCAUCCUGUCUUUUUACUUUUACUACCUGAAACAGAGAACGUCUCCUUUUGAUUCUGGACAGCAUUCUUAAUCAAUUUCCAUUCCUACUCCCAAGAAGUGCAGUUUGGAUGGGGAGUUGGGAAAAACUGAGGGCCUGGGAAAUUCCUGACUGUGGUGCGGGACAUGUGGACGCAGCAGAAUUGAAUCCUGCCUGGUGCUUCGCAGGAGAAGUUUAUUCGGAAGGGUUACCUGCACCCACCAAGAUAUCCACAAGGAUCAGAAUUCUCACUGUGCCACAAACAAGAGAACCAUUGGGAAAUAGUAAAGAAAUAGAAGGAAAGUCUCUGUUCCCCAGGCAAUUUAAGAUGCUAUGGGGUCCCAGGAAUGUGAGACUCGCAGGCCUGGUGGAAGUUGGCCACUGUUCAUUGCAGAAAAUCAAUGUUGCAUCAGAAUCACACAGGAAUUCAAAGAGGAUUUAUGGAUUAAUGGGGUGAGAGCCAAACAAAGGUACAAAGAGAGAGACCUAUGUUCUGCCUCUUGAAAAUCUUUUAUCUACCACACGAUGACCCGUAGGCCCAAAGAGGUUAAGUGACAUACUCAAAGUCACAGAGAGCUUGGUAUGGAGUCUUCAAUGUUCCACCCUGCACCGGUGUCAAUGGGAGUGGGA